rnacentral:rRNA from 1 species
GACGUAGGGCGCGAGCGUUGUCCGGGUUUAUUGGGCGUAAAGAGCUCGUAGGCGGCUUGUUGCGUCAGCUGUGAAAACCCGUGGCUCAACCAUGUGGUCUGCAGUGGAUACGGGCAGACUAGAGGUAGGUAGGGGAGAAUGGAAUUCCCGGUGUAGCGGUGAAAUGCGCAGAUAUCGGGAGGAACACCGGUGGCGAAGGCGGUUCUCUGGGCCUU